rnacentral:lncRNA from 1 species
UUAUUUUAGCCCAUAAAAUUUUCCACGAUUCUAGGAACCAUGUAAAUACUAUGUUUUUUCAUUUCCCAAGGUUCUUGCCAGGCCAUUAAAUUUUGAGUUCCAGAAAAGAAAAGGAAAAGUUCUCACACUGAUAAACUCUCCCUUUCCCAAACUCAUCUUCAACCCCCUUGCACUGCCUGUUUAAUUCAGCGUCAUCAGAAAAUAACCCCAAAUGUCUUGCACUCCUGGCUUCCGCUGAUAGAGAGAAAGGGCUUAAGACCCUGAAAUAGUAAAAAAAAAAAAAAACAAAAAUUUAUAGGAAAAUUUCCCCAAAA